GGUGUGGCGUGAGAGCGUGAGAAAUGGGUGAAAUGCGUGUGUCACACGGCGAAACCGUAAGAGUAGGCAGCUCUGUAUGAAUGUAUAUUUACACCUUGCUUUUUAAAUGUUUUAUGCCAAACAUUCAUCAUACAGUAUACUCAUUCCUUCCUUUUCAUGAAAAACGUUGUACAUAAAUAAGUGAUUUGGUCCAUUAGCACAUGAACAUUUAGACCCCUGCCCCCUGCCUACAGAUCAAAUUUUUCCUUCCUUAUUGUCCCUAUUUCACCUGGAGGUCCUUGGGUGCCGGUCUGGACCUGGCUGAAUUGAUCUUGAUCCUGGCCUACACUUGACGGUCCCUGGGUACAUUGCUGACUCUGACCUGGAGUGCUGCUGGUGGGGAUCAAUUCUGGCAAGAUCUGAACUGCACUUUCUUCACUAGGUUUUUUCUUGAUUAAGUAGUCUUUAAUUUCAUGAGUCCUUUUCAUUGUUCCCUGUAAACCAUAUAAAGCACACCAUAUUAUUUAGUUAAUUUCCAUGCUUUUUUCAACAGACUCACUACCUCACGUUUUGUACUUAGGUAACGUUAGGUUACACUCAACGUCACUAACCCUCUUCUACAAUACCGAAGCACUAUGAUGAGAAAAUCAAUGAAUGCAGUACUUAACUACAAUUAACUCAAUAUGUUACCCAGAUAGCAGAGUAGGGAGGACAAACGUUCUGCUCUCAAUGUAAUCACAAGAGAGAGUUCCAAGCAUCAACAAAUGCAAAACUGAACUUAUUGCUCAUUUAACAUUGUGAUAAAAAAAACACAAUUGUGAGAUUUAAUGUACAAUACGAUGUAUGCUGAUCGACCUAGCUUGGAAUGCCCACGACAGACUGAGGUGGCUUUGUUUUAGUUUUACAGUACUUAAGUGUGAUGACAUGGUUGCUCGUUUUGACGUUUUUGGUACAUUGGACUUCAUAUAACAUUUCUAUUUUGAGUACUUGUAUGUUGCAAGGCUUGCUAUAAAAAAUAUAUGUAUGUUCGUACUCGGAAAAAGGCGCCUUUUUAUAUUCCCCUCAACUCCGCCAACUAGUGACUUUUUUGUGAACUGAUCUGCACUAUCUUCAAUCAUCAGCACAUAUUAGCUCUAUAUAUCAAAUAGAUUAAACAACAAAUUUAGCCAAUCCCAAAUUUAAGUAGGCUACUGUGUGAAAGGUGUUAUGGAGGGCAUUUGGAUUUUAAUGAGUGACAGUGAUCAGCUCGACGUGACUUUCACUGUCAUGAAAUGACAGUUUACGGCUAGCUAGCUAGCUAGCUUAGUCUGACUUAACCUAGCAGUUACAUUUAGCUAGCAAUUUAAGUCGACAUAAAAUCCUAAAUGUCUUGCAUUACGCUAACAGAACUACAAUAAUAGCUAAUAUUUAUAUUUUAUUUAGCUAACUAUAUCAAUAUCAUAGCUUUGUUAUCUUAACCGUUAGACCAAGGGAAGAAAGUGCUACUUACAAAACGGACUCAUGUAGCUACAGUAACAUUCAAACUGGUUGUCUUGAGAAUGAGCGGGGUCCUAAGAAAAAUCUACAGUAAUGCUGCAGAAUGUUGUCGCCGCAAAAGGCCAAUUCAGCAAUAAAAACUGUGCUAUCUGGGGAAUGUGCGAUUUAAAUAAUAUUGUAUGAAUACAAUUCAUGUAUCCUCUAUACACACACCAUCAAAACCUACCUCAGUUUACGCUGUCCACAGAGUUAGGGAAAGCGGGAAUAUAUGGCUUCUGUCAUGUUCUGUCCAGGCAAUUAUUUCUUAUUGAGAUUGACAUCCUUCAGAGCCAAUGAAAAUAGGGCAGGGGGCACCUGUGAACCAAUCAGAUUCCAGGGGGGGCACAUGCCACUCCGUGCCCCCCCAUUGGCUCCGCCCCUGCUUAUACGGCUUUGAAUAUUGCGUUACUGAAUGCGGUUAUGUUACUGAAGCCAGCAAUAUCAAAGAGUUGUUUAAACAAGCUUUAUUGUAGUUAGCCUACCACUAAAAUAUGUUGUCAUGCUAACAGGUUAGAGAUAAUGAUGACGAGCGUUCGCUAGAGCAGAGGGCGACUGCUUCAAUCUGAAGUGAUGGAUGAGAUACUUACGCUUAUUAGCGAGUUAGUUCGGGAAGCCAAUGAUCAACAACAACAACAACCUGGUAAUGUACUCGUUAGAUUAAACAUAAUCUGAAGAAGCAAGAUUCAAAACACGAUGCCUCUAACAUUUCUCUUGAACUGCAGUUGAUUCUGGUUUCACCGUUCCUCGAAUGGGAGGACAGACUGGAGGAAGGCCGGUUUACCAAAGACCUUGAAGUACUUAAGUGUACUUGAAGACCAGGGUUGAGAACCACUGCAAUAGAGAUCUAGAUCUCUUAGGUGGAGGAUUGUAAUCCAUGGAGGAAUCGAUGGGUUCAGCCGACUGGUGGUUUUCCUGAAGGCUUCUAACAACAACAGAAGUGACAUUGUAAUGGACCUGUUUUCGGAAGCAGUCGCCCAGUUUGGUGUCCCAUCCAGAGUCAGAUGUGACUAUAGGGGGGAAAACGACGCCAUUUGUCUGUUCAUGGAUGUCUUCCGAGGAUCGACCCGAGGGAGCACUCAUAAUCAAUGCAUUGAAAGACUGUGGGGCGAUGUCUGGAGAGGCGUGACAAAAAAACGCAAGGUCCUAUGUAGUGUGGUCAGGUCUGCUGAGUUUAUCAUCGACAGGAAGCUCCCAGCCCUUCAGGACACCUACCACACACGAUGCCUCAGGACAGCUGGCAGGAUUCUAAAAGACUGCUACCACCCAUCUUUCAGUCUCUACCCCGCUGCCUUCUGGACAACAGUUUCUAUCCAAGGGUUUAGCAGGCUUCUGAAUGAACAUUUACAUGGACAUUUCUCAGUAGCCACUUUACAUUGAUGCAUUUCUCACUAGUGGUUUUACAUUGAUGCAUUUCUCACUAGUCACUUUACAUUGAUGCAUUUCUAACUAGUCACUUUACACCGUGUCACUUUCAGCUACUGGUUGCACUAUCAGCAAUAUUGCACUAACUGUACCCCACUUGUCUUAGGUUAGUAUAGGUCUAAGGUUAGUAUAGGUAAUUAUCUGUAUUAGAGGUGUAAUAUAUUGUAUACUAUUUUGUAUAUUUAGGUUUAUAAUUUAUUAUCAUUACUUUUAACUUAUCAUAGAUGUUAUCUAAGUACUUAUUAUGUAAUGCCUGGUUGCUUUGCAUUGUCUUGUCCCAAAAAUGUCAGUGCCCAGUC